rnacentral:misc_RNA from 1 species
UACGUAGGGGGCGAGCGUUGUCCGGAGUUACUGGGCGUAAAGCGCACGCAGGCGGUUUCGUACGUCUGGAGUGACAGUUCCCGGCUCAACUGGGAAAGGUCUUUGGAAACGGCGAGACUUGAGGGCUUCAGAGGGACACGGAAUUCCGGGUGGAGUGGUGAAAUGCGUAGAGAUCCGGAGGAGCACCAAUGGCGAAGGCAGUGUCCUGGGAAGCAUCUGACGCUCAGGUGCGAAAGCUAGGGGAGCGAACAGG